GGGUGGUAGAUGCACGCAGCCAAUAACAGGCUAGAGAAACUGAGACUUCAGAGACUCCAGACUUUAGAAAGUCAGUCCUCACAUAGCAAGAAAGGUAGGAAAAAGCCAAAGAGCAUGAGGAGAAAGGAAAAUGAUAAAGAACCGAAAGAAAUGAAUUUAAACCCGUGCAGUGAUGCUUUGUGAAGUGACCUUACGGUGAGGGACGACAGAGAUUCGGGACGAGGCCUGAGUCAAUUGCGCUGUACAUUUCUCCAAGACGCAACAGCCAGAGAGAGGAGUACUGGAAUAAAAAAGGCACGUGUCAUCCCAGACAAAAGCACCCUCAGCUACUCCACAAUCAAUUAUUUAUGUGCAGGAGAGUUGCAGUAGGCCAGGCAAAUAGGAGUUGGCCUGCUGCUCAAAGCUGUGCCGUAGUGUGCCGGAGGAAGGAAAGAGGGAUACUGGAAGACAGGAGGAAGAUAGAAACAGACACGGGAGCACUGCUGCAAAAAUGAAACCUCUUCAGAAGAACCAGGGGCGUACCGAUCAUAUUUUAGGUGCCAUGGCAGACAUGCUGAGCUCACUGGCCAUGCCCAGCCAACACUGGAACUCAGAGGGCACGGAGGAGCUGCAAGUGGAUGGUGAACAAAAGGCAGCAGGCCAGUCUCAGUUGGAUCAGGAAAGGCUCGAGUGGGAGCAGGCAUCUCGGGACAGCCCUGAGAGAGGGCAAAGAGACAAAGAAGAUUCGUACUCUGCAGCGGGUAGUGAGGGCAGUAUCUCCACGUCGGUGGCCUCUUUACCUCCCCAGGCAUCAGGCAGCUCUGCCCCAAACUCGCCUGGCUCACGUCGCUCUGUCAGUACACUGAAGAAGUGGCUGACCAACCCGGUGCGAAAGCUGAGCGUCGGGUCAGUCGGAGGGAUCAAGGGGGAGAGAGCGACACGCAAAGUGGAGGGCAAAGCCCCUCCUCCACCUAGCAGGAGCAACCCUGAGCUGGGCAAUAGCAGGGCACCGGAGGACCGUGUCACCAUCUUCACCAACACAGACAAAGACCUGGAAUGGAGGGAUGGUCUGUCUGCCUCUGAAGAUGUCUCAGAAAGCCCACAAUCCCACAGGCACCAGUGUGAUUUUCUUCAGGGGUCCACCUCAAUGGACCCAACUCAGAAUCCCCAACCCAGUAACCUGCAGCUAGAAGGCAAUGGCUCUGUGUUGAUGGAUGACACUUCCAGCCAAUCAUCAGUCACUGUGGACAGUGAAGAGGAGCGGAGGAGUGCAUUAGAGAAAAGCAUGUAUGUCCUUGAAGAGUUGAUUGAGACUGAGAAACUAUAUGUAGCUGACCUAGGACUCAUAGUAGACGGCUACAUGGCCACUAUAAACACUAAAGGCGUACCAGAAGACAUGAAGGGUAAAGAUAAAAUAGUGUUUGGCAACAUACACCAGAUCUACGACUGGCAUAAAGAUUAUUUCAUGGGUGAGCUGGAGAAAUGUGUGGAAGAGCCUGAGAGACUGGCACAGCUCUUCAUCAAACAUGAAAGGCGUCUUCACAUGUAUGUGGUAUACUGCCAGAACAAACCCAAGUCGGAGCACAUAGUGUCAGAAUACAUCGACACCUAUUUUGAAGAGCUUAAACAGCAGCUUGGUCACAGGUUACAGUUGAACGAUCUCCUUAUCAAACCUGUGCAGAGAAUCAUGAAAUACCAGCUGCUAUUGAAGGAUUUCCUGAAGUAUUACACCAAGGCUGGAAUGGACACAGAGGAUUUGGAGAAAGCAGUGGAGGUGAUGUGCUUUGUUCCUAAGCGCUGUAAUGACAUGAUGAACGUAGGACGGCUGCAGGGCUUUGAGGGGAAAAUCACAGCACAAGGAAAGCUGCUUCAACAAGACACUUUUACUGUCACAGAACAGGACAGUAGCUUCCUGUCCAGGCCUAAGGAGAGGCGAGUCUUCUUGUUCGAGCAGAUCGUCAUUUUUAGUGAGCCGAUUGAUCGGAAGAAAGGAUUCUCAAUUCCUGGAUACAUAUUUAAGAACAGCAUCAAGAUGAGUUGUCUGGGUGUGGAGGCGUGUGUAGACGGUGACCCGACCCGCUUUGCGCUGACGUCCCGUGGUGCUGACGGCAACACUGUGCGAUUCGUUCUGCAAUCUUCCUUGGUGGACAUCAGCAGGUCCUGGGUGAGCGACGUGAACCAGAUCCUGGAGACACAACGCAAUUUCCUCAACGCCCUGCAGUCACCCAUCGAGUACCAGCGAAGGGAGAGUAAGAGUAACAGUCUGGGUCGCACCAUGAGACCUCCAGUGUGUGCAACAUCUGGGCUGAGGCCUCACUCUUCAGCCUCCAUGGACAGACAGAGAGCACCCUGCCUGCGUGCCUACAACACAUCCCUACCCUCCCUCUACCUAUCCAGCCCGGGGCCUGGUGAUGCAUCCGCACAGCUAGAGUUAACACAGCGAUGCAAGCUGGAGUCCCGGCUGGAGGCCGAAACAGUUUCCCCAACCCAAGUUCAGCUGGCGUUCACUGAGGAGCCCUGUUUCUCGCAUGCUGUCCACUCCUGCCAGACAGUGUCCAACGGCGUCUAUCCCGCCAACACACAAGGCUCAAAGGUGCACAUUCACAUAUGUUCACAACAUGGCUGUAAGACAAGGGUGACCAAUCCUAUCCACAAAAGGGCUGACGUGGCUGCAGAUUUCCAUUCCAACCAAACAGGAGCCACACCUGAUUAUUCUUCCAGUUUACUCAGUUCAUCUUGACCUGUUUGCUCGGAUUGAAACCAGCAGUCACACUGGAUAUUCACAGCGAGGUCUGGACAUGUCCUGUCUGAAAAGAAGCUUCAGCACUCCCCCUUCUGGAAGCCAGAGGAAGCACAACAGGAUGGGUUUUUAGAGAUCUUUAGAUCUUAUUUUAUUAAAUGUUUAAUUUGAAUGUAAUAACAUUAUAAUAUCUAUAUAGCACCUCAUGACUUUCAUUUGCAUCAAAUUUAAAGCUCUCCAAUUUAUGGAAAUUUUGAUUGGUGAGAAGGUGUUGAUUCAUUUUCUAUAACAGCAGCUCUGAUAAUGAUCUCAAGGUUUAUAUUAAUGCCCUCGCUCUAAUCUGUAAUCAUUUCUAUAGUAACAGCUUACAGGGACCUGUAUGGCAGUCACUCCAUGUAAACAGAUUUUUACAAAUUUAUGAAAUCUUUGGUGAAGCUUUUUUUGGAAGGAGUCUCCAGUGUUAAAGUCAAGAAGACAGCAAGAAGAAAUUUAAUGAGUUGUCACACAGGCUUAGUUAAAAUAUUAAUAGCAAAAAACAAAGUAUUAGUUCAAAAGUUUGACGUUGUCUAUCUUUUGCCUCCAACCUCGUUUGUAUGCUCUGAACAUCUUUUAGCUUUCUCCUCACAUUUGUUGUACUUGUCCCCCACGGCUUUCCUCAUUCUUCUUGACAUAUUUAUCCUAACUCGAUCUGAAUGUCAUACACUGCCUCCUUCAAAAGUAUCAUGGUAAAUUUUUUUGUAGAAAAUAUAUUUCUGUUGAUUUUGGUAAUAUUAGUAUUCUUUUUGUUGCAUAUUAUUUGUUAAGCGAAGACACAUUCUAUACAUUUUUCCGUUCAAAAACCAUGGGGUGUGCAAACUUUUCCACUGAACUGCAAACAGUGAGUGGUCGUGUAAUUGAAGUGUACACAAUCAAGGAAAGGAACCAAGUGCUGAGACUAGAACAAAACAGGAUGUACAACCCAAAACAAUAACAUAUCACUGUUGCCAUGGGAACCAAGUGAGGAUAAGAUCAUGAUGCAUAUCAUAAGUGGAGUAACCCAGGUUUUUAUUUUCCCCGAAUAAGACAAGUAGCAGUACUGAAUUUAGCUAGUGCAAAACAAGUGUCCCACACCUUCAAGUUCUUCAUCGCCUACUCUGGCAUCUGUGUUCUGUUACUCGGGUGGACCCGUGAUUCAUUAGUACCACCUGCUCCUGACUGACACCUCAACAAUAGCUGUGUUGGCUUGGAUUGUUUAUCUUGUUUACUCAGUUCUGCAUGCCUGUGCUACAAAACAAACAGGAAGGAGAACGGGAAGGGAGAUCCUUAUCGUCAGCCUAUUUGUUCUCGUCCCAUACUGUUGCUGGAGUUAAAUGGUGUUUUGAUGGCGAGUGGUGAAUAAUGAAAACAUGCUUCGUGGUGAAUUAACUUUUUGGGAACGCUCCAUUCUGGAAGGAAUAUGUGCAGGCAGGAGAGAGCGGUUCCAGAGCACCACUGUGGGAGGCGGGACCGUCAGCUCCAGGCCCCUCCUCCAGCCUGCAGCACUCCAAUCACCUGGCCCAGCUGGAUGAAGAUGAACUUUGAGCUGCCCUUGAACUCUGACCCUGGCUGCCUUCGGAGCCUGUCACAUACAACCUGGAUGCGUCCACUAUACGACCGGGACGAUUUAAUCUUGUCCUGUCCUUUACUCGCACUCUGACGUGAAUGACCAAGUGACGUUUUUAUUUCAGCUUUCUUUCUUCCUCCUUGCUUUCUGUUGAAAAAUUAAAUAACCAUUCCUGCAUCGGGAGGUCACUGGAGCUGAAUGAACUUUUCAUGUGUGUGAAUGAGCGUGUAAGAGUGUGUAGGUGUGUAUGGGCAGUAGAAACCGCUUCAGUGUUGUAAAAACAUGUCGAGUAUUUUCCCUCAACAAUGUGCUCUGCAGUUCAGGAUACUAAUGGCUAGCAUUACAGAGCCUACAUGGGGCUCUAGGCCUGUUUACAAAGGCACUGUUUUUUAUUUCCGGGCCUGCUGGGAUAUAUAAAUUCUCCAGAAGGAGCCAAUUAGAAACAGACUGAUAAUGCAGUAUAUAUAUUUGUAUAUACCGUACAUUAAAGAGCGACUCUGUGCAUGAAGACGCAUAGGCUUUAGUGCCUCUUCACUGAAUAUGGACAUGUCCAGUGCUGUGUUUCUGAAUUCUGUUUGAACGCACAGUGCUGUUUGAUCUGAGUGUGAGGAGAGCAUAUACAGUGCUCCCCUAGAGACCCUCAGCUGCCAUGAUGUAAGACUAGAGGUCAUACACUCCUCCAUGCAGCUGCACAGCUGCAGCUACUGGUCAACACAUCAAGCCAUGGACAGUUGGAGAAAGAUGCGACUGUUUCAGCAUGCAUCUGUUACAUUUUGGCAGAGAAGCAUGCAUGCACUCAGUGUGCUCUAGGAUUUAACAGACUUUUUCGAAAGGAAAAUGCUGUUUAUUAUAACAAUAGACAACAGAGCGAGAAGCCUUACAGUAUGACAAUCUUUAUGUGUAAUUACUGAACCCUGUUUAAGCGGCUCCCAUCACAAUGCAUGACUCCUAGCUUACUGUUUACUCCCUGAAUAAAUGAGAGAGAAUCAAAGACAGCAUAUCAGAAACACGAUGAGAAUCAAAUGCUUUAAUGAAAAGCUCCUUUGAAGGUGCAUCACUAAGUGCCAAAAGGAGUUACCAAAGCCCUUAAACUUAAUGACUGCAAACAAAAUCGUUCCCGUUUUAAAGGAAAUCAGAUUAUCCUUUGUACCUGUGAAAAGUACAUUCAUUUGCAUGUUAUAAAAUGCAAAGACAUGAAUGAGGUUAUGAAUUUGCUCACACUGCCAAAAUACAGUCCCCUCCAAAAGCUUUGGAACAGCAAGGCCAGUUUGAUUGUUUUCACUAUACACAUAGACAUUUAGGUUUAGGAUUAUGAGACGACAGAUCAGAAUUUCAGCUUUAAUUUCUUCAUAUUUACAUCUAGAUGUGUUAAACAACUUUGAACAUAUAAUGAUAAUGAGUCUUUAUUGGUCACAGCACAGUAAAAUUCAAUGAAUAUGGAAUCUGACCCCAACUUCCUAGCAUGCUGGGUUGGGGUCAGAGCAUAGGGUCAGCCAUGAUACGGCACCCCUGGAGCAGAGAGGGUUAAAGGCCUUGCUCAAGGGCCCAACAGUGGCAGCUUGGCAGUGCCAUGGCUUGAACCCUUGACCUUCCGAUCAGAAACCCAGAGCCUUAACGGCCAAGCCACCACUGCCCCACAUGGCACCUUUUGUUUGAACCAACCCAUUUUUUCAAGUGAUCAAAAAUACUGGAACAUGUGGCUGAUGGGUGUUUUUGUUUCUUCCAAGGUGUGCCCUGUUAAAUUGACUGUUUAAAGAAUUAAUAGCUCUGAAUGGCUGUUCUUGGUUUGAGCCCUAGGUUUUUCCUGUAAAGACUGUGUUUGUUGUUAAAAAGGAUAAACCAACAUGAAGACCAGAGAGCUGUCUAUGGGAGAAAAGCAAGCCAUUUUGAAGCUGAGAAAAGAGGGAAAAUCUAUCAGAGCCAUUGCACAAGCAUUGGCCAUAGCCAAUACAACAAUUUGGAAUGUCCUGAAAAAGAAAGAAACCACUGGUGUACUAACAACCAGACAUGGAACAGGCUGGCCAAAGAAAACAACAGUAACAGAUAACAAAAACAUUGUGAGAGCUUUGAAGAAAAACCCAAAAACAACAGUUAGUGACAUUGCCAAUAACCGUCACGGUACAAAGGAUAAGGUAUCACAAUCCACCACUCGAAGAACUCUUCUAGAGCAGAAAUAUAGAGUCCAUACCACAAGAUGCAAACCACUCAUGAGCAGUAAGACUCAGAAGGCCAGAUUGGAAUUUGCAAAGAAAUACAGAGGUGAGCUACAAAGAUCUGAAACCAAGAAUAACCUCUAUGAAAGUGAUGGAAAGGCCAAAGUGUGGAGAAAGAAAGGAUCUACUCAUGAUCCAAAACAUAGAGGCUCACCUGUGAAACAUGUGGAGGUAGUGUCAUGGCUUGGGCUUGCAUGGCUGUUUCUAGAACAGACUCGCUAAUCUUCAUUGAUGAUGGAACUCAUGAUGGUAGCAGCAGAAUGAAUUUAGAAGUCCACAGAAACAAUCCGUCUUCCAAUUUACAGAGAAAUGCCUCCAAUCUAAUUGGGAGGAACUUCAUCAGGAAGACAAUGAUCCAAAAAGCACUGUCAACACAACUAAGGACUUCAUCAGGGAGAAAAAGUGGAAGGUUUUAGACUCGCCAAGUCAAUCACCGGAGCUUAACCCAAUUAAGCAGCAUUAUAUCUCCUGAAGAGGAGACUGAAGGGAGAACGCCCAUGAAACAAACAAGAACUGAAAGUAGCUGCAGUAAAAGGCUGGAAAAGCAUCACAAAUGAAAAAUGCAACAGUUUGGUGAUGUCAGUUGGUCACCGGCUUGAUACAGUUAUUGUAAGCAAGGCAUAUGCAACCAAAUAUUAAGUGUUAUUUACCUUAAUUUACUUUUGGGUGGUCUGCCACCAAAGGUGUCAUGCAUUAAGCUGUUUAACACAUUUAGAUGCAAAUAUGAGGAAAUUAAAUCUGAUCAUCUCAUAUGCAUCUUUGAUCUCAAACCCAAAUGCCUUCAAUACAACAACAGAAUUGGCCUUGCUGUUCCAAUACUUUUGGAGAGGACUGUAUCUUCAUGAGUGAAAACCUCUUGACUAUAAGUGAAUUGAUCUAAUAUUUCCCACUAUUAGAUUAUUUGAAAAUGAGUAUGAUAUUGUUAAACUUAUUUCCCUUCAAACAAUAUGAAAUGUGAAAUUCUCUUGCUCCUUUGGCACAAAUAAAAUAAGAAAGAAAAAUGCUAAUUAAAUAUUAUAUAAAUGAAUUUAUAUUCAGAAUUUUACUUGCCAAUAUGUUUUUUUUUUCUUGCAGUGCACUCGGUGAAUUUCUUUCUUUUUUUUUAUUCUGACAGAAUACACUUUAGCAUCCAGCAAGCACACAGUUGAACCAGUAGAGGCCACCAGUAAGCUUCUGAAAACACACAAAGGAUGGCAUUUGCAAACCACCUGCUUUACUGAACUAUGCACCUUUUGAUUAAUUUGAGUCACCUCUGUUUUAUGCAGAGUGGCAUCCAGAAAAAAAUGUGCUGGCUCAAAUCUACACUGCAGUAGGAGAAAUAAUAUAAAAUCCAUGUGACAGUAUGAAUGAAUUAAUGAAAUUUUACUUUAUUACUAUUGUUUUUUUGUUUUUUUUUACCUUGAUAUAUUACCUACACACCUAUUUGUUGUUCACUUGCAUAUAAUAACCAAACCAAAUAAUUUACAACCCAGUUUAAUUGCUAAUAACCCAUGCCCAAUUAACCAAACCGCCUGUGACUGGCUGCACUUUACACAUUAGGCAUGAAAAUUGGAUAAAAUUGAAUAAAAAUUUUUUGUUUAUGCUUGUGAAUUGAUUUGCACCGUUUUCUUAAAAAAUGUCAAUCUGAAAGAAAUGAUUCGAUGAUCCAUGUAGGAUUGAGGUACCCAUAAAAUCAUCGUAACUUUUACAGAAUGUCUUUUUGAUAUUACGUAUGCUUUAGGAAGACUUGGCCAUAAUGCAGUGUUGCACCAAAUGCCAGAUAUUUUCAUUCUGGCACAUUUGAAAGGCUAAUUCUCAAGUACUGUUACAAGUGAAUGUCCACAUCCUCUUGUCUCUUGUCUAGAAAAUAUAGCCCUGUAUUGAGAACGGCCUCUCCUCUGUUGCCUUUGCACAAAUCUAGACUUUUGCAUGCUUUGUUGCAGAUGUUUUAGCAAGAGAAAACAGAAAAGACAGACUAGAUAGACUAAAUGUCUAUGUGACAGAUCUUGUUGUUGUAUCAUAUGAAAUAAACUGUCUUUUUGGAAAA